GAUGAAGAACGUAGUGAAAUGCGAUAAGUAGUGUGAAUUGCAGAAUUCAGUGAAUCAUCGAAUCUUUGAACGCACAUUGCGCCCCUUGGUAUCCCGAGGGGCAUGCCUGUUCGAGCGUCAUUUCACCACUCAAGCCUGGCUUGGUGUUGGGCGACGUCCCCUUUGGGGACGCGCCUCGAAACGCUCGGCGGCGUGGCACCGGCUUUAAGCGUAGCAGAAUCUUUCGCUUUGGAAGUCGGGGCCCCGUCUGCCGGAAGACCUACUCGCAAGGUUGACCUCGGAUCAGGCAGGGAUACCCGCUGAACUUAAGCAUAUCAAUAAGCGGAGA
rnacentral:misc_RNA from 1 species